rnacentral:lncRNA from 1 species
UUUAUCUAUGCUGAAAGAGUGAAAGGAGAAAGGUAAUGAGGAACUGCCACCAUAUCACCACUAUGGAAGGUUGAGAAAGGCGAAGCAAGCAGCCAUAAUGUUGCACCACUAUCACCCAUAAACAAGUUUCAACGAACUUGGGUAUUUACCAUGAGGUGGUCUGAAGGACAUGGAAUAGUAACCAGUUUCUACCCAUAUUUAAUUUCCAUUACAUAAAUGAAGUGUAGGUCAAAGGUUCCAGUCCUCAAGUCGACAGUCUGUUACACUGGCGAUGACAUCACUAGCAUGAUAUUUGUCACCCACCCUGCCGGCCAGUUCUCCUUUUAAUUAUGUAUCUGAAGUAGUGAUAAAGUUUUAUUGAAAAUCUUUGGCUGCCAAUCCCUGCAGUUUCCGCCUCUCAAUAGGAAGCAUACAACAAUCCUCCAAUGACAGUUAAUUUCUGCACAGUAUCAACAACAAAGAAGAAGUUCCAGUUGUUCUUCAAUAUUUAUCAUGCUAUUAUAAAAGUUUAUGUUCCCGUAGUCGCUAUACUGGUGAAAGAUUUUUUGCGUCGAAUUAUGCUGUUGCUGUUCCUUGGUGCCGGACUGCUGGUGUUGUGCACAAAAGUUACAUCCAGUUUUAAUUGUUAUUUGUGUCUAUGCAGUUAACCGUUUAUAGGUUGAAAAGGAACGGAAAAUUUCCUUGGUUUUGAAUCGCUGGUGUUGUGCUUCAUAAGUUACAUCCAGUAUUUGGUUUAAUUGCUAUUUGCGUCUAUGAAGUUAACCGUUUAUAUGUUGGAAUGAAAAAAAAUAGUAAUACGGGGAA